GCUUAAUUUGACUCAACGCGGGAAAUCUUACCGGGUCCGGACACACUGAGGAUUGACAGAUAUAUACCCCGUGAUUUUAUCGCGGGGUUGAAAGAUGCUAGUUCUUUCAUGAUUAUGUGAUAGGUGGUGCAUGGCCGUUCUUAGUUCGUGGAGUGAUCUGUCUGCUUAAUUGCGUAUCAAUAAUAGAGACCUAGUAUACGCGUAGACUCAUGCGGUAGUGACCCCCCUUCACAGGGCGCGUGUCGCACGUAUGUUAUACGCACAGGUCUCCGAUAGCAACGAACGUGACCGUACUCUAUUGUUGCAGCGACAAUACCUUUCAACGGGUAUUACCGCUGCUUAGCAAGAUUCGUCUUGCAUUAAACUAUAGAGACCGCUGUUUCUUCUUUAAACCAGAGGAAGGAUACGGCAAUAACAGGUCUGUGAUGCC
rnacentral:rRNA from 1 species